GUAAGAUACAGCUUUUCAACCCUUGCUUCUGCUCUUGCCAACUUAAUCCCAGCUUUCACUUUCUUGCUUGCUGUUAUCUUCAGGUAAUUUAAUAUGCUAUUUCAUAAUCCACGAAGCUUUGGCUACUUCAAAUUGAUACUUUCCCUACUAAAUUUGAAGGCUGCAGUUCUGAAAGGGUAUCCAUCAGAGAUAACGUUGGUUUCCUUCUAUUGCCUCUUUGGGUCUAUUCAAUCUGCAUUGGUUACUUUGAUUUUGAAAGAGACCCAAACGCUUGGAUGUUGAGUCUUGAUAUCGAGCUCAUUUCUAUGGUCUACUCAGUAGGCAAACUGCAACUCCCCAUGUUUGCGUUGUCAUUUUGGCAAAUCGAAGCUUUGUAAUUGAGACCAAUUUUGUUUCAGGCUUUGGAAAUGUGGCAACAUUCAUCGUGCAAGCAUGGUGCAUAUGGCGUAAAAGUCCGGUCUUUGUGGCCACACUUUUACUGCCUUAUUGGGGUUCAUUUUGCUUAGGGAUGAUGGUGAUGAAAGAAUAGGGGGGAGAGAGGGAGAGGGAGAGGGCAAUGGUGGGGAGGUCUGCAAAAAAGUAAAGGGGUUUGUGAUGGGGAGGGAUGGUGGAGAAGAGGGAGGGGGAUGGAAAAGGGCAUUUCUGUUAAGUGAAUAACGGAAAACGAUUAAGGGUGACUGUUUUGUUAUUUUUUGAAAGUUGAGUGAUUGAAUUGAAACCUGAGUGAUUGUUUUGUCAGCUACACUAAA